rnacentral:rRNA from 1 species
UACGUAGGGGGCAAGCGUUGUCCGGAAUCAUUGGGCGUAAAGCGCGUGUAGGCGGCCCGGUAAGUCCGCUGUGAAAGUCGGGGGCUCAACCCUCGAAUGCCGGUGGAUACUGUCGGGCUAGAGUACGGAAGAGGCGAGUGGAAUUCCUGGUGUAGCGGUGAAAUGCGCAGAUAUCAGGAGGAACACCGGUGGCGAAGGCGGGUCUCUGGGCCGAUACUGACGCUGAGGAGCGAAAGCGUGGGGAGCAAACAGG